GUGAGUCACCUGAGAUCUCUGGAUUCUAAAAGCAGCUCUACUGUGACAUCAGAAUUGCCAGAUGCAAGAUGAAUAGGCAGAAAUCAAGUGAUGAUAAGGUCAAAACUAGAAUCAGUUAUUCAAAACUAGUAACUUUAGAGAGGAUUGUAAAUAAGGGAGAAGAGAAAACCAACUUCUAUCACUAUCCCAGUAUUAAAUAGGGUUUUGUGCCUCUAACACGGAAUUUGCACUCCUUAGAAGAAUAUCUGUUCCGUCACAGAGUUUGGCGUCUGCUCCUAGUUAAACUGAGAUAAAUAUGUGGGUGAAGCAGCAGGAGUCCAGUCUGCCUUCCAGAGAGCACCCUGGAGCUGUCCGCAGGAAGGUGCUGGAAAGGGCAGCUGCAGAUGGUUCAGCUCCUGAAGACUCUGGGCCUCUUGAGAUCACUGAAUUAAAGGAAGGUUUUCCUGUGGCUCUGAUCUCCCAGAAAUAUAGUACACUCAGAAAUGAAACUACUGGAUCUUCUUACGUAGGACUCACUCACAUAAAGUACAAGCCUCUGAGUCGAUCCUCUGAUCAAACCAAAGGCCAGGGAGCCCUCUGGACGAUCUUGAUGAUAUAUGAGAACGCUCUACGGCAUCAGCUGGGAAGACUGCAGCCAACACUGGAAUAAUCAAAAGUGACCACAUACGAUAAUAGUCUGUGUGACAGCAAAGAGGGGACACCAGGAAGCAGGUGGUUUAUGUGACAGAGGAUCAAUAUUCCCGUAGAGGGAAUAAAAUGGGUUCCAAAUGGAAAAUAAACACACGGAGAAUAAGAGCAGGAACACAAGAGAAAGGGAAGAAAAAUAAGCCAAACCUGCAGGAAACAUCACAACAAAGGGGAUGUGGGGGUGUGAGCGGGAGCCACAG
rnacentral:lncRNA from 1 species